UACGGGGGGGGCAAGCGUUGUUCGGAAUUACUGGGCGUAAAGGGCUCGUAGGCGGCCAACUAAGUCAGACGUGAAAUCCCCGAGCUCAACUCGGGAACUGCGUCCGAUACUGGCGGGCUUGAAUCCGGGAGAGGGAUGCGGAACUCCAGGUGUAGCGGUGAAAUGCGUAGAUAUCUGGAGGAACACCGGUGGCGAAGGCGGCAUCCUGGACCGGCAUUGACGCUGAGGCGCGAAAGCUAGGGGAGCAAACGGG
rnacentral:rRNA from 1 species